rnacentral:rRNA from 1 species
GGUAGGGUAAUGGCCUACCAAGGCGAUAAUGGAUAGCUGGUCUGAGAGGACGAUCAGCCACAUUGGGACUGAGAUACGGCCCAGACUCCUACGGGAGGCAGCAGUGGGGAAUAUUGGACAAUGGACGAAAGUCCGAUCCAGCGACACCGCGUGGAGGAUGAAGGCUUUCGGGUUGUAAACUCCUUUUCUGGGGGAAGAAUAAGGUUGGGAGGAAAUGCCCAUCCGAUGACGGUACCCCAGGAAUAAGCAUCGGCAAACUUCGUGCCAGCAGCCGCGGUAAGACGAGGGAUGCAAGCGUUAUCCGGAAUUACUGGGCGUAAAGGGCGUCUAGGCGGUUGGAUAAGUCAUUUGUGAAAUCCCAGGGCUUAACCCUGGAAGGUCUUGUGAUACUGUCCGGCUUGGGUGUAGGAGAGGAGAGCGGAACUCACAGAGUAGCGGUGGAAUGCGUAGAUACUGUGAGGUACCCCGAUGGCGAAGGCAGCUCUCUGGCCUAUUACCGACGCUGAAGCGCGAAAGCGUGGGGAGCAAAGGGGAUUAGAUACCCCCGUAGUCCACGCCGCAAACGAUUUCACUUGGUGUCGGGAGCCUAUAUAUCUCGGUGCCGGAGCUAACGCGUUAAGUGAACCGCCUGAGGAGUACGGCCGCAAGGCUAAAACUCAAGAGAAUUGACGGGUCCCCGCACAAGCGGUGGAGCACGUGGUUUAAUUCGACGAUAAGCGAAGAACCUCACCUGGGCUUGACAUACUAGUGGUAAGAACCGGAAACGGUGAUGACCUUUCCUUCGGGUUAGGAGCUAGUACAGGUGAUGCAUGGCUGUCGUCAGCUCGUGUCGUGGGAUGUAGGGUUAAGUCCCGAAACGAGCGCAACCCUUGUCACUAGUUGCCAGCGGAUAAUGCCGGGGACUCUAGUGAGACUGCUGGUGAAUAGCCGGAGGAAGGCGGGGAUGACGUCAAGUCAUCAUGUCCCUUAUGCCCAGGGCGACACACAUGCUACAAUGGGAAGUACAAAGGGUUGCAAUACGGUAACGUGGAGCCAAUCUCAAAAAACUUCCCCCAGUUCGGAUUGUGGUCUGCAACUCGACCACAUGAAGCCGGAAUCGCUAGUAAUCGUGGGUCAGCCAUACCACGGUGAAUAUGUACUCGGGGAUUGUACACACCGCCCGUCACACCAACCGAGUGGGGGGUACCUGAAGUCGCUCUUUUGAGGGCGCCUAAGGUAACCUUCGCAAGAGGGGUGAAGUCGUAACAAGGUA